UGGAAAGAGGCGAUAUAUCAGAUAUCUGUAAAAGCACGUUGCUUAACCUUGUAGUAUAAAUCAGACUUAAUCACUUAAUGAAAUAACUCUACGUUUCUAUAACUAAGAGUCAACAAAACUGAAGAUUGUAAGCAGUUACCCGAAAAGUAAUAUGCAGUUACAGCCUGUGACAGAUGUUCAAGAUAAAGCCUUUGAUUUCUUCAUGCUGUAUUCUGAAGACAAGUAUAAUGUUUGGCUAAUCACUUUAUGGAAUAAGUUGUUGUUGGCAACAAUAUGAAAGCUGCAGUAAUCUUGCAAGACUGUGAAAAGGGGAUUGAUGACUUCCUGAAAAGUAAAAAAUGAAGAUCAAGACUCAAACAAUGAAGUUAAAUUCAACCUCGAGUGAAGGUGACAAACUUUUUUUUCUAUUAGUUGAUUACAG